CCCUUAGAUGUUCUGGGCCGCACGCGCGUUACACUGAUGCAUUCAACGAGUUCUUCCUUGGCCGAGAGGCCUGGGCAAUCUUUUGAACGUGCAUCGUGAUAGGGAUAGAUUAUUGCAAUUAUUAAUCUUGAACGAGGAAUUCCUAGUAAACGCAGUUCAUCAAACUGCAUUGAUUACGUCCCUGCCCUUUGUACACACCGCCCGUCGCUCCUACCGAUUGAAUGUUCCGGUGAGCUCUUCGGACUGCGCGGUCUGCAGUUUCUGCGUUCCGUGCGGAAAGUUGCGCAAACCUUAACAUUUAGAGGAAGGAGAAGUCGUAACA
rnacentral:rRNA from 1 species